rnacentral:rRNA from 1 species
UAAGUUAUUAAGGGCGCACGGUGGAUGCCUUGGCACUAGAAGCCGAUGAAGGACGUUACUAACGACGAUAUGCUUUGGGGAGCUGUAAGUAAGCUUUGAUCCAGAGAUUUCCGAAUGGGGAAACCCAGCAUGAGUUAUGUCAUGUUAUCGAUAUGUGAAUACAUAGCAUAUCAGAAGGCACACCCGGAGAACUGAAACAUCUUAGUACCCGGAGGAAGAGAAAGAAAAUUCGAUUCCCUUAGUAGCGGCGAGCGAAACGGGAAGAGCCCAAACCAACAAGCUUGCUUGUUGGGGUUGUAGGACACUCUAUACGGAGUUACAAAGGACGACAUUAGACGAAUCAUCUGGAAAGAUGAAUCAAAGAAGGUAAUAAUCCUGUAGUCGAAAAUGUUGUCUCUCUUGAGUGGAUCCUGAGUACGACGGAGCACGUGAAAUUCCGUCGGAAUCUGGGAGGACCAUCUCCUAAGGCUAAAUACUCUCUAGUGACCGAUAGUGAACCAGUACCGUGAGGGAAAGGUGAAAAGCACCCCGGAAGGGGAGUGAAAUAGAACCUGAAACCGUGUGCUUACAAGUAGUCAGAGCCCGUUAAUGGGUGAUGGCGUGCCUUUUGUAGAAUGAACCGGCGAGUUACGAUUUGAUGCAAGGUUAAGCAGUAAAUGUGGAGCCGUAGCGAAAGCGAGUCUGAAUAGGGCGUUUAGUAUUUGGUCGUAGACCCGAAACCAGGUGAUCUACCCUUGGUCAGGUUGAAGUUCAGGUAACACUGAAUGGAGGACCGAACCGACUUACGUUGAAAAGUGAGCGGAUGAACUGAGGGUAGCGGAGAAAUUCCAAUCGAACCUGGAGAUAGCUGGUUCUCUCCGAAAUAGCUUUAGGGCUAGCCUCAAGUGAUGAUUAUUGGAGGUAGAGCACUGUUUGGACGAGGGGCCCCUCUCGGGUUACCGAAUUCAGACAAACUCCGAAUGCCAAUUAAUUUAACUUGGGAGUCAGAACAUGGGUGAUAAGGUCCGUGUUCGAAAGGGAAACAGCCCAGACCACCAGCUAAGGUCCCAAAAUAUAUGUUAAGUGGAAAAGGAUGUGGCGUUGCCCAGACAACUAGGAUGUUGGCUUAGAAGCAGCCAUCAUUUAAAGAGUGCGUAAUAGCUCACUAGUCGAGUGACACUGCGCCGAAAAUGUACCGGGGCUAAACAUAUUACCGAAGCUGUGGAUUGUCCUUUGGACAAUGGUAGGAGAGCGUUCUAAGGGCGUUGAAGCAUGAUCGUAAGGACAUGUGGAGCGCUUAGAAGUGAGAAUGCCGGUGUGAGUAGCGAAAGACGGGUGAGAAUCCCGUCCACCGAUUGACUAAGGUUUCCAGAGGAAGGCUCGUCCGCUCUGGGUUAGUCGGGUCCUAAGCUGAGGCCGACAGGCGUAGGCGAUGGAUAACAGGUUGAUAUUCCUGUACCACCUAUAAUCGUUUUAAUCGAUGGGGGGGACGCAGUAGGAUAGGCGAAGCGUGCGAUUGGAUUGCACGUCUAAGCAGUAAGGCUGAGUAUUAGGCAAAUCCGGUACUCAUUAAGGCUGAGCUGUGAUGGGGAGAAGACAUUGUGUCUUCGAGUCGUUGAUUUCACACUGCCGAGAAAAGCCUCUAGAUAGAAAAUAGGUGCCCGUACCGCAAACCGACACAGGUAGUCAAGAUGAGAAUUCUAAGGUGAGCGAGCGAACUCUCGUUAAGGAACUCGGCAAAAUGACCCCGUAACUUCGGGAGAAGGGGUGCUCUUUAGGGUUAACGCCCAGAAGAGCCGCAGUGAAUAGGCCCAAGCGACUGUUUUAUCAAAAACACAGGUCUCUGCUAAACCGUAAGGUGAUGUAUAGGGGCUGACGCCUGCCCGGUGCUGGAAGGUUAAGAGGAGUGGUUAGCUUCUGCGAAGCUACGAAUCGAAGCCCCAGUAAACGGCGGCCGUAACUAUAACGGUCCUAAGGUAGCGAAAUUCCUUGUCGGGUAAGUUCCGACCCGCACGAAAGGCGUAACGAUUUGGGCACUGUCUCAACAAGAGACUCGGUGAAAUCAUAGUACCUGUGAAGAUGCAGGUUACCCGCGACAGGACGGAAAGACCCCGUGGAGCUUUACUGUAGCCUGAUAUUGAAAUUCGGCACAGCUUGUACAGGAUAGGUAGGAGCCUUUGAAACGUGAGCGCUAGCUUACGUGGAGGCGCUGGUGGGAUACUACCCCUAGCUGUGUUGGCUUUCUAACCCGCACCACUUAUCGUGGUGGGAGACAGUGUCAGGCGGGCAGUUUGACUGGGGCGGUCGCCUCCUAAAAGGUACGGAGGCGCUCAAAGGUUCCCUCAGAAUGGUUGGAAAUCAUUCAUAGAGUGUAAAGGCAUAAGGGAGCUUGACUGCGAGACCUACAAGUCGAGCAGGGUCGAAAGACGGACUUAGUGAUCCGGUGGUUCCGCAUGGAAGGGCCAUCGCUCAACGGAUAAAAGCUACCCCGGGGAUAACAGGCUUAUCUCCCCCAAGAGUUCACAUCGACGGGGAGGUUUGGCACCUCGAUGUCGGCUCAUCGCAUCCUGGGGCUGUAGUCGGUCCCAAGGGUUGGGCUGUUCGCCCAUUAAAGCGGUACGCGAGCUGGGUUCAGAACGUCGUGAGACAGUUCGGUCCCUAUCCGUCGUGGGCGUAGGAAUUUGAGAGGAGCUGUCCUUAGUACGAGAGGACCGGGAUGGACAUACCUCUGGUGUACCAGUUGUCGUGCCAACGGCAUAGCUGGGUAGCUAUGUGUGGACGGGAUAAGUGCUGAAAGCAUCUAAGCAUGAAGCCCCCCUCAAGAUGAGAUUUCCCAACUUCGGUUAUAAGAUCCCUCAAAGAUGAUGAGGUUAAUAGGUUCGAGGUGGAAGCAUGGUGACAUGUGGAGCUGACGAAUACUAAUCGAUCGAAGACUUAAUCA